UUCCAGCCCAUCCAGCUUCUCUCUGGAGCUUGGCAGAGCCUGGUGGUAGAACCACAUGGAAUCCGCGACUCCUGCCUGCUCUGAGAGUUGUGCUCACCAUUCCGGCUGGACACACACGCUCCACUUUUCCUGUCACUGGACUGGGAUGUUCAGAGGGCCGGGGGGGCUCAAGUGUUGACAGUUACACCUUCACCAGGCUCUGAUCUGCUCUAGCUCUCAGGCACUGUGAGGCACCUUCUGUCCCCCAGGGGUCCCCCGCAGGCCCUAGGCUGGGCCGUCUGCAGUGUCACAGCCUGGGGCCUGAAGACCUGCCCUCAGCCACCCUCUUCACAGGGAAGAAGAUUCAUGAGGCAGCCUCCAACAAGGGUUUCAUCCUGGUAGCAUCACAGAUGGAUAGAGACGUCCUCUCCCAGUCCCUGUGCCCGAUAAAUGGCUGGAGGGGCUCCUUGAGGCUGGACAAUUGGGACCUGCUGUCCAAGAAGACUGUGCAGCUCGCAUCCUGGCUGACC
rnacentral:lncRNA from 1 species